GCCCAAGAAAUAGCAAAAAAAGACCAAAAAAAAGUCAUGGGUGCACGCCAUUGUGUGGUAUCUGGUAACGGCUGUCCACGCCAACAAAACACACUUUCUCCUCUCUGCCACCCUCCCCACCACCCCUCUUCUUUCCCGUUUCCCUCCAAACACUGCUCGGAUGCCUCCAUACGUUUACAAAUAGGUAUCCGUGAAGCAUCUGCUAGGCGCACGCCCUUGAUGGGCUCGGGUGCAGCCGGAGCCCAAGAAAGCCUGUGUCCCUCCUCACAGGAUGGAGCUGACUCUGUCGUGAGGGGGAAGAUACUAACAAAGGAGGAAGGAAAGCAAAUGUUUUAAAAGAGCGGGUUCCCUGGUGACUCAGCGGGUGAAAGAGCUGGCGUUAGCCCUGCUGUGGCUCAGGUCGCUGCUGUGGUGCUGGUUCCAUCCCUGGCCCAGGAAUAUCCACCUACCACAGGCCUAGUGGAAAAUAAACAUAAGUUUUAAAAAGGGAGUUCCCUGGUGGUGCGGUGGUUAGGACUUGGGGCUUUCACGGCUGCACCCCAGGUUCAACCCCUGGUCUGGGAACCAAGAUUCCUACAUCAAACUGCUGCACGUCGUGGCCCAGAAGGAAAAAAGAAGGGUUGUGGGACAAGGGGGGAUAUUGGUUCAAAGGUGGAAGCUUGUUUUACAGGAAGCGCAAGUGCUGGAGGUCCACGGUGCAGCGUGGCAGCCAUGGUUAGUGCUACUCUGUAAAUACACAAACUGUACACUUGACUUGCUAAGCGAGUGGGUUUGAAAGGUUCUCACACACACGGUGGUAUCUGAGGUAAGGGAUGUGUUAAUAAUUUGACUGGUACUCAUUGCCCUAAGUAUACACGUAUCUAAACAUCGCAUUAUGUAAUACCUCUGUAAAGCUGGGGGAAAGAAGGUAAUUUCAGGGGCUGGGACGACAUGCAUAAAAGAAAGCAGGAUAGUGGGUGGAAGGUGAGGGUGGGAAACAGGAGAGACAAGUUCUUUUGCCUGCCUUGGUCUGGAGGGCAAUCCAGGACUCUGCACUUUUAAUGAUUUCUCUCCCCCCUUUCCCCUUUCUGAUGCAGGUGCAUUCUGGAACAUGGCUUUUAAAAAUCCUGGCUACACCAUGGCAGGCACAGUGCCAGGUGAUCUACAAGAAGCAUCUAUCAUAAUCCACAUCACACUCCAAGGAUCCAGAGAGAAUGUUUCCCCACUUUUAGAAGAGAACUCUGUCUCAGAAAGGGUUUUGGAAUCUGCUGUGUAGUUACAGCAUUUCUCAGUGGGGACUAGCCACUUUCCGGGCGCUCUGCCACAAAUGCUCGCAGCUACCAUAUUGGAAACACAGGCCUAAAACCCGCUGCGAGGAAGCUGAUCAGGCUGCGGUUUCCAUGGCAACAGUCUCGUUACUGGCAGUCGAGUACCCUCGAGGGGACAGAGCAGCAGUCAGAAGAACCUGGACCGGGGGUGGCGUGACUGGGCCGAGAGUGGGGGCUGCAAGCCCCCCCCCCCCACAGAACCGGUCCCUCCAGCCUCGAGUGCUCAUGAGAAGGUCUCCUCGAGUGUGGUCUCUGCAGACGGGGAGUGCUUUUAUGUUUAUAAAGAGAGAACCCUGCAGGCUGCCGCCGACUGAGAGAAAGGACAGCUGCUGCAGGUGCUGGGACACCCAUCCUCUCCUCUGCCCACUCAGUCACGUCCCGUUCUUCCUUGGGCACAAGAGGACUGGGUGCCUGGGACAUGGUGGGCACCUGAAUAGAGCUGGGAGGCACCCCUUCCCACAAGGGCUGGGCCUCAAAAGCUUCAAGCGUCUCCCCCACCACCCCCGAAACCUCGAGUGCGAGAGUCCACUCAGCCUCGUUUGGAAGGACAGUGGUCACCUGUCCUCUGGUUCCCAUUAUCACCCAACUGUCCCACGGAGCUAACAAUAGAUGAAAGAAUCAGCCGCCCCUCGGGACCCAAGUGGCAGGUCUUAGGAGAUGGAGGGAGGCGGGGAAGCGGGUGCGCAAAGGAAAGCGUCUGUCCGGCGGUGCCUUCAGAACGGAUGGCUGUUGGUUCUGAAACGCUGCGCUGAUGCAUCUCAGUUCAGACUCUCAGGACAGGUGCUCCCGGCGGCACCUUUGAUGGCUGGGCAAAGUCUCAGGAAGUCGUGCCUCGGGAGGGGAAGCAGAGGGCCUGGGGACAGAGGGUAAACAUCCACUUGAGCAAAGGUUUUGUUGGUUGGGUUUUUUUCCCCCCUGAAACUGUAUAAACCAUCCAUGUUUUCUUCCAAUGACAGUGGGCCUU